GACGAACGCUGGCGGCGUGCUUAACACAUGCAAGUCGAGCGGCGCGGCGAACGGGUGAGUAACGCGUGAGUAACUGCCCCCCUCUAUGGGAUAACAGUUGGACACGGCUGCUAAUACCGGAUAGUGGGGGAUGACUCGCCUCCUAUCAGCUUGUUGGUGGGGUAGUAGCCUACCACGGCGACGACGGGUAGCCGGCCUGAGAGGGCGACCGGCCACAUUGGGCUGAGAUACGGCCCAAACGCCUACGGGGUGCAGCAGUGGGGAAUAUUGCACAAUGGGGGAAACCCUGAUGCAGCAACGCGCGGGCGUGAUGACGGCCGUCGGGUUGUAAACCGCUUUCAGCUAUGACGCGGUAGUGGCAGAAGAAGCACCGGCUAACUACGUGCCAGCAGCCGCGGUAAUUC
rnacentral:rRNA from 1 species